UGAAGCCUAACCAUAAUUUCUGUAAAAAUGGUUGGCAGGUGUGCUGUUCCUGGUUUUAAAUCAACAUAUUUCAAAGGAAAUCAAAAAGAAAACGAGGUUACCCUGUUUGCAAUUCCUAAAACUUCAUUAUCAAAAUGGCGAGAACUAAUUCCAUGGAUUGAAAUUUUGAACGUGUUCCAUCCUUACAAACGGUGGACUCUUAAUGCUGGAGCAAUGCCCUGGAAACCAACAUUUUCUGUUAAAUGAUACAUCUAGUCAACAAGUAAUGCAAAAUGUUGAUGUUUUCAAAUGGAGAAAUAACGUAAGUGGUAUUUUUACAUAUGUUUAUUU
rnacentral:lncRNA from 1 species